CGAUAUGAUAAAAUGUGAACGAUCGAAAUGUUAAAGUUAAAUAAACUUUUGAUUUAUAUAAAAUAAAGUGUUAUUUACUCAAAACUGUCAAAAAAUUCUAUUACUACAGUAUCAGAAGCGGGAUAUGAGCUUGAGUAUUGGUCAUCAAUAAUUAAAAUUAUUUGUGAAAAUCAAAAAUUGAAAAUUUUCUUUAAACGUGCUUGGAUUAAAAAAAGCUGUGUUCUGAAGAAAUGUGAAGACUUUUUUGAAGAUUUUGAUUGAGGCUGCUUGCAAGACGUCUUUCUUGAACCAGGAAUAUAUUUCUGUGUGCCCUGUCAUUAAUCUGUUGUUUUAGAUAUUUGGAGCCAAGAAGUGUGUCCUGAAUAAACAUCAACUAAGUGAUUACAAGAAGACGAGAAUAGUUCAUAAAAAAAACGAAGGGGAAGCGAUCACUUGUAUCAUCUAGCAUCCAGAUAUUCAUAAAUUUAUGAAUGUCCAGAUAUAACAAAUAUACUACAAAAAUCAUAUUUUCUAUAGGCACCUGAUGGUUCCUUCUAAACUGCGGACAGGAUUUCAAAGGAAAUAUAGCCUUUCAUUUUUAAAACGGAAUUUGAAAUACUUUGAAGUUCUUCACAAUUUAAAAUAUUUACCAAUUGCUUUUUCAUCCAGGAAGAUUUUUAUUGCAAAAAACAGAAGAUACUUCAAGGUCAACAUUUCCGCGUCUUCCCGGGACAUAUAUUCCCAGGGGGUAUUCAUUUAGCCUUCCGAUUGUUCAAUGAAAAUAAAAAGAAUUCUACCAUCUGGAGUGGAUUCAACACCUGGUGAUGGAAUAUUGUAUUUGCAAGAUAAUGUUUAUAGUCGUCAACAUUUGUAUUUUUGGUUGUCCAGCGUUGAGUCUUUUUAAAGUUAAAAUAUUCAAGUUUCCAAAAUAUCAAAAGAACUCGAAAUUUGGUUGAUAAGAAGGUUUUAUAAAAUAUGU